GUGUUUUUCUGCUAACUUUAUUCUUUAUACACAGUUUGGGUAAAGUAAGAACCAGGCUUCCACCAGCCCCCAUCCCCACUCCACCUUUGAGGCUUUAAAAAGCAACUAAUAGUUGAUACUGGUAAUGAUUCCCAAGGUUGCAGAACUUCCAUAGUGGAGCAAAGCUAUGCAUUUGGUUUCUGAAAGAUCACAGAAACCCUCUUAGGAAGUGACCUUAGGAAGAAGAAGAUGAGGAGUGGAAGGUGCCCGAGGGUCAGCCGGCCCAGUUCAGCUGCACACCAAGCUCGGAAUUGCCCACCUGCAGCGUGAAGCAGCCGAUCCAUCACAGCCACAGAGCACUUGGAGGCAGUCACCUUGGAAAGUGGAGACUACAUCUAUCAAGGCAUUGCUGAAAGAGUUUUAUCCCUUCAGAUCCAUUCUUCCCCAAAACUAAGGCUGCCAUGACCCUUAAGCUGGAUUUCAAAAAUUUAUUCAACAUACCUCUUAGAAAACUUAGGCUGAAAUUUUUAAAAAAUAACUGAAGCAAACAACUUCACAAAUACACAUACAAAUGUUUGAGUAAUGUCACUAACGUGGCGUAUAAAUAUGGAUUCAGAGUAACAUUUACAUAUUGGCCAUAAUAGCAAGCAUACCAUUAAAAAAAAUUCAUGAAGAAACUUCACCUGUUCAUGUCAGACUCCCAAGGCAAGGAGGAGGCACAAAGAGGAGGACCCCCCUGACCCCCCCAACCCGAGAGGCCAGAGGGGCUAAGCAGGGAUCCCUACAGUGCCAAUGAGACCACUAGCACUCCACAAUCUUCAGCUUCACGAUCAUUGGAGCGCUUAUCAAAAAGGAUUGCUGGGUGCCACCCCAGUGAUUCACCAAGAUGGGGCCCAAGGAUUUGCAUUUCUAGUAGGUUCCUAAUGGGAUGCUACUGGUCCGAUGGCCACACUUUGAGAACCCCCUGGAGUGCUUGGGGCUGCCUCUCAAUGAAGACAUUCAUUCCUGUCUUCCCUAAAGCCCCUGUCCCUGCCUGUCACAAGGACAAGCCAUCCCUAACUGGCUCUCUGUCCUGGCUUACCUGAACUUCGGCAGUGGACUUGGGGUGACCAUAAUUGGUUGCCCCAAUCUGCCUUCUGGUUUUGAACAGGCAGGGUAGCAAUAUGGUAAGAUACUCAUCCUGGAUCUGAAAACACGCAUUGAAGGAAAAUAAAAGAAUGGCAGUGCCCAGGCUGCCAUUCUUGAUCCCAUCCAUGAUCCCUGUUCUCAAGCUUCUAAUACUGACUCAAAAAUCCUGGAGGUUCGAACACUGGGAAUUCGCUUUUCAGUCAACUGACAGCUGAUACUCUAUUUCCUGAAUCCCUGGUGGCUCCUACCAAAAAAGACAAUGCCAGAGCCCCUGCCCUACUGGAGAGACCAAGGGACAGGUGGCUGCCAGCCCUACUUGCGGAGGUGUGAUGGAGAAGGCUGCUGCCCAAACCCUGGAGCUGAAGCCUACGGUGGCCAGAGCCACCCCAGAGAGCACUGCUUUCAGGGGGGCCGCAGGUCUUCACCCCCCCCAGGAAGCCACGACAGCGCUGAGCAGCCUGCAACACCCAGCACGUGCCAUCCUUUCGCAGGCCCAAUGGGAAAAAAAAAUUUGACCAGAGAUCGGGAGGCAGUGUGGUGUAAUGCAAACACUCUGAAUCCGGAGUCGAGAUUUUCCUUCUAGUUCUAUACUGUUCCUACCCGGCUGUGUGUGAUCAUUGCAGUCUCCAUACGUCACUACCUGUGAAAGGGUCGAGGGGGCAGGUACUGAUUGAUCUCCAAGAUCUUUCCAACUCUGACAAUCCUGAAUUAUAUAAAAAUGCUAUAAAAUCCAUGGUAUAAAAUCCAAUUCCCAUCAGGAAGAGUCAAGGGGACUGGGCCUGAGGCACUUGAACCUUGGGCUCCAGCCUGGGGGUGCUGGGUUGAGGAAGGGCUUCCUCCUUGCUGUCUGCUUUCCCACCCAAAGAGGCGAGGCGCCCCCUCUGCCUCUGGGUAUUGCCCCC
rnacentral:lncRNA from 1 species